ACUGCUCAGUAACACGUGGACAACCUGCCCAAAGGUCUGGGAUAACCCCGGGAAACUGGGGAUAAUACCGGAUAGAUCACGAAUACUGGAAGGUUUUGUGGUUGAAACUUCAGGGGCCUUUGGAUGGGUCUGCGGCUGAUUAGGUUGUUGCCGGUGUAACGUACCGUCAAGCCUGUAAUCAGUACGGGUUGUGGGAGCAAGAGCCCGGAGAUGGAUUCUGAGACACGAAUCCAGGCCCUACGGGGCGCAGCAGGCGCGAAAACUCUACAAUGCAGGCAACUGCGACAGGGGAACAUCGAGUGAUACUCAUAUUGGGUGUCUGUCCCACCGUCUAAAAAACGGUGGUUAGCAAGGGCCGGGCAAGACCGGUGCCAGCCGCCGCGGUAAUACCGGCGGCUCGAGUGGUGGCCGAUAUUAUCGAGUCUAAAGGGUCCGUAGCCGGCUUUGCAAGUCUUUUGGGAAAUCCAGCGGCUUAACCGUUGGGCGUCCGGGAGAUACUACAUUGCUUGGGACUGGGAGAGGUAGGAGGUACUCAGGGGGGUAGGAGUGAAAUCCUGUAAUCCUUUGGGGACCACCGGUGGCGAAGGCGUCCUACCAGAACAGGUCCGACGGUGAGGGACGAAAGCUAGGGGCACGAACCGGAUUAGAUACCCGGGUAGUCCUAGCCGUAAACGAUGCUCGCUAGGUGUCACAACAAUCGUGAAUUGUUGUGGUGCCGUAGGGAAGCCGUGAAGCGAGCCACUUGGGAAGUACGACCGCAAGGUUGAAACUUAAAGGAAUUGGCGGGGGAGCAC
rnacentral:rRNA from 1 species